GUCGAACGGAACUUGAGAGAGCUUGCUUUUUCAGUUUAGUGGCGCACGGGUGAGUAACGCGUGAGUAACCUGCCCUGGAGUGGGGGACAACAGUUGGAAACGACUGCUAAUACCGCAUAAGCCCACAGCACCGCAUGGUGCAGCGGGAAAAGGAUUUAUUCGCUUCAGGAUGGACUCGCGUCCAAUUAGCUAGUUGGUGAGGUAACGGCCCACCAAGGCGACGAUUGGUAGCCGGACUGAGAGGUUGAACGGCCACAUUGGGACUGAGACACGGCCCAGACUCCUACGGGAGGCAGCAGUGGGGGAUAUUGCACAAUGGGGGAAACCCUGAUGCAGCGACGCCGCGUGGAGGAAGAAGGUUUUCGGAUUGUAAACUCCUGUCGUAAGGGACGAUAAUGACGGUACCUUACAAGAAAGCCACGGCUAACUACGUGCCAGCAGCCGCGGUAAAACGUAGGUGGCAAGCGUUGUCCGGAAUUACUGGGUGUAAAGGGAGCGCAGGCGGACCGGCAAGUUGGAAGUGAAAUCUAUGGGCUCAACCCAUAAAUUGCUUUCAAAACUGCUGGCCUUGAGUAGUGCAGAGGUAGGCGGAAUUCCCGGUGUAGCGGUGGAAUGCGUAGAUAUCGGGAGGAACACCAGUGGCGAAGGCGGCCUGCUGGGCACCAACUGACGCUGAGGCUCGAAAGCAUGGGUAGCAAACAGGAUUAGAUACCCUGGUAGUCCAUGCCGUAAACGAUGAUUACUAGGUGUUGGAGGAUUGACCCCUUCAGUGCCGCAGUUAACACAAUAAGUAAUCCACCUGGGGAGUACGACCGCAAGGUUGAAACUCAAAGGAAU
rnacentral:rRNA from 1 species